AACGAACGCUGGCGGCGUGGCUAAGGCGUGCAAGUCGAACGAGUUCCACCUGGGUAACUGGGUGAGAAAAGUGGCGGAAGGGGCAGUAAGGCAUGGAUAAUCUACCCUGAUGACCGGGAUAGCUGUCCCAACGGGCAGGUCAUACCGGAUGAGCUGGUGGGCCCGCGUGGUUCUGCCAGUAAAGGCGCAAGCCGUGUCGGGAGGAAGCCAUGUGAUAUUAGGUAGUUGGUGGGGUAUAGGCGCACCAAGGCGAAGAUGUCUAGCGGGUGGGAGAGCACGACCGGUGCCAUUGGCACCGAGACACGGGCCAGACUCCUGCGGGCGGCGGCAGUCGAGGGUCUUCGGCAAUGGGCGAUAGCCUGACCGAGCGACGCCGCGUGAGCGAUGAAGGAUAUUAGGUUGUAAAGCGCUGUCGAGGGGGAACAGGCCGCAAGGUGGAGUGAUCCCUGGAGGAAGCACCGGCUAAGUUCGUG
rnacentral:rRNA from 1 species